UGGGGCAGCUGUCCUAAACGG
rnacentral:miRNA from 1 species